rnacentral:lncRNA from 1 species
UCGGGGUUCAGAGAGGGACCCAAUUCGUAUGAAGAACCAUUUGUUGAGUUUGUACCGCAUGCAUGAGUUGAAUCGAUGUUGCAUUGCAUUACAUAGUUGUCGUGCAUAUGAGAUGUUUGAGUGUUGUUGAAUACUCUUGUAUGGGUUUGUGCGAUUUUGAAUAUGAUGAAUAACAUUGUGAUUGGUGAUUGAUCUUGAUAUGGAUGAAACAUGAAUACAUGAUAUUAUGGUGCAUGUUUGAUAUGUGUAUG